AACGAACGCUGGCGGCAGGCUUAACACAUGCAAGUCGAGCGCCCCGCAAGGGGAGCGGCAGACGGGUGAGUAACGCGUGGGGAUCUGCCUAGUGGUACGGAACAACACGGGGAAACUCGUGCUAAUACCGUAUAAGCCCUUCGGGAGAAAGAUUUAUCGCCAUUAGAUGAACCCGCGUCUGAUUAGCUAGUUGGUGAGGUAACGGCUCACCAAGGCGACGAUCAGUAGCUGGUCUGAGAGGAUGAUCAGCCACACUGGGACUGAGACACGGCCCAGACUCCUACGGGAGGCAGCAGUGGGGAAUAUUGGACAAUGGGGGCAACCCUGAUCCAGCCAUGCCGCGUGAGUGAUGAAGGCCUUAGGGUUGUAAAGCUCUUUCGCUAGGGAAGAUAAUGACGGUACCUAGAUAAGAAGCCCCGGCUAACUUCGUGCCAGCCGCCGCGGUAACAC
rnacentral:rRNA from 1 species